UGGCCUAAGGACUAUAACUUUGUAGCCAAAUAACUCCCGUUUAUAAAAGCCAAUCCAUUUCUAAUAUUUUGUGUAAUAGCACCAUUAGCAAACCAGAACACCUGGCUUCUGGAAGUGCCCAAAAUAAAACACCUUCUGUGCAGUACUUUCACUGUGCAGCACUUUCACUGUGCUCUCAAAUCCUCUGUGAAAUCUCUCACCACACUCUAUUUUCAUCCUUUAUUCAUUUGUACUAAUCUUUUUUUUUAAUUGUUGGAGACCAGACUUUACUGUGGUAAUUAAAAUAACUUUGUAGUAUAUCAUGAUGUUGAUUAAAACACUAAUAAAUUUUUCCCUUCUUUUACGAGUUUAAAGUCUCAGAAAAAAAUCUCUCAGGCAACUGGGAAUGAGCUCCUGGGAUCAUAUCUGCCUCCAGCAACAGCCAGUUGUCAGCUCUACUUCUUGUGCUCAGUGCUUUGUUCCACAGUCUUGAUUCUUUUGGAUGCUGGCCUUAAAGAUUGCGGUGACACAGCCACAAGUCAAGGAAGGCUGGCAGUAAUGGAGGCUGGAGAUGGCAAGGAAUGCAUUCUCCCCUACAGCCUUAGUUUCAGCCUAGUGAUAGUUCUUUUGGACUUCCGGCCACUGGAACUAUGAACAAAUAAAUUUUGUUUUAAGCCACAAUAUUUGUGAUAAUUUGUUGAGGAAGCCACAGGAAAUUAAUACCUUUCCCUUACAAAGGUGUGAUCUUAGGAAACAUCUUUAAACUCAAGCCUCAGUAUUUUAACCUAUUAAAUGGUUCUUUACCUUGCAGUGUGUUUGAAGAUUGAAUGACAAUACUUGCAAAGUCUUUAGCUGUAUGCCUGGCAUAACCAGAAUGCUCAAUAAACAAUAUUUUUUAUAUUUUAA